UAAGGAAUAUUGGACAAUGGCCGCAAGGCUGAUCCAGCCAUCCAGCGUGCAGGAAGAAGGCCCUAUGGGUUGUAAACUGCUUUUGUCAGGGAAUAAACCCUUGGAUUUACUCCGAGGCUGAAGGUACCUGAAGAAUAAGCACCGGCUAACUCCGUGCCAGCAGCCGCGGUAAUACGGAGGGUGCGAGCGUUAUCCGGAAUUACUGGGUUUAAAGGGUGCGUAGGCGGCGCAGUAAGUCAGGAGUGAAAGUUUGCGGCUCAACCGUAAAAUUGCUUUUGAUACUGCUGUGCUGGAAUUAGGAUGAGGUCAGCGGAAUGUGGCAUGUAGCGGUGAAAUGCAUAGAUAUGCCAUAGAACACCAAUUGCGAAGGCAGCUGGCUAGACCUGGAUUGACGCUGAGGCACGAAAGCGUGGGGAGCGAACAGGAUUAGAUACCCUGGUAGUCCACGCCCUAAACGAUGCUCACUCGACGUAUGG
rnacentral:rRNA from 1 species